ACUCCAGACUCCAGUCUUCCCAAUGUAACCUGCAUAUCAGACUAAGACCUGGUCUACUCCAGACUCCAGUCUUCCCAAUGUAACCUGCAUGUCAGACUAAGACCUGCCUCCAUCCCAAAGUCUGAAGGUCAUACCAUGACCAAUGUCAUCUGUGCACAGCUUGCAAAUGUCCUAUUGCUUCUGACCACAGAACAUUGGCCUCCAUUUUCUUUCAAUUUCCUGAGAGUUCUACAUGUGGAAUUGUCAGAGUUAGUGGAUACCCAGCAUGUGAUCUAUUGUUCAUGGCUGAUGUUUGUUAUGGUGUGCCCUGUCCUUUACAGAGAGAGUUUGGACAGCGGUUCAGCUGACAUAGUGAUGCUGUUUCUGAACACCACCCAUUCAUAAUGAUGGCUGUUUUAUCUAAUAGCAUCAUAAUGUUGACUGAUUGUUUAAAUGACUGUCUGGCUGACUGACUAACCGACUGUGUAAAUAACCGUUUGACUGACUGUCUAAAUAUUUGUCUGACUGAUGGAUGGACUGUCUAAAUGACUGUCUGACUGUUGAAAUGACUGUUUAAAGGACUGACUGACUGUCUAAAUAACUGUCUGACUGACUGUCUAAACUGUCUGACUGUCUAAAUGAUUGUCUGAUUGACGGACUGACUUUCUGACGAACUGUCUAAAUGACUGACUGUCUAAAUGACUGUGACUGACUGUCUGUAUUGUGUUCCCUGUCCUUUGCAGAGGAUGUUUAGACAGCGGUUCAGGGGACACAGUGAUGCUGUUUCUGAACACCACCCAUUCAUAAUGAUGGCUGUUUUAUCUAAUAGCAUCAUAAUGUUGACUGACUGUCUAAAUGACUGUCUGACUGACUGUCUAAAUGACUGACUGACUGAGUGACGGACGGACUGUCUAAAUGACUGAUUGACUGACUGUCUAAAUGACUGUCUGACUGACUGACUGUCUGUAUUGUGUUCCCUCUCCUUUACAGAGGAUGUUUGGACAGCGGUUCAGGGGACAUAGUGAUGCUGUUUCUGAACACCACCCAUUGAUAAUGAUGGUUGUUUUAUCUAAUAGCAUCAUAAUGUUGACUGACUGUCUAAAUGACUGUCUAAAUGACUGACUGACUGUCUAAAUGACUGACUGACUGUCUAAAUGACUGACUGACUGUCUAAAUGACUGACUGACUGUCUAAAUGACUGUCUGACUGACUGACGGACGGACUGUCUAAAUGACUCUCUGACUGACUGACUGUCUAAAUGACUCUCUGACUGACUGUCUGUAUUGUGUUCCCUGUCCUUUACAGAGAGAGUUUGGACAGCGGUUCAGGGUACAUAGUGAUGCUGUUUCUGAACACCACCCAUUCAUAAUGAUGGUUGUUUUAUCUAAUAGCAUCAUAAUGUUGACUGACUGUCUAAAUUACUGUCUGAUUGACUGACUGUCUGACUCUAAAUGACUCUGACUGACUAACUAAAUGACUGACUGGCUGUCUAAAUGACUGUCUAACAGACUGACUGUCUAAAUUACUUUCUGACUGACUGUCUGGCUGACUGUCUAAAUGACUGUGCACAUUCGAGCGGUUCACUUUUAUCAAGUUUCCGAUAGUCAGUCAGACAGUCAUUUAGACAGAUCCUGCAGCCAUCACAUGCAUUGAGGGUGGUGGGUCUAUUGUCAACCAAUCAUUAGGGUGUUUUUGUUUCACCCACACCAACAUGACAAAGGACGUGACUGAAACAGGAACCAACUUUUCCACGAUUCAUGUAUAAAGUGUAUAUUUAAGUGAUAAUGCCUGAGAAGUCGAUGUUUGGAUGGGUGUUGUUAACGUGCCAAUAUAUCCUCCAAACACUGGCUUCGAGGCCAUUAUCACUUUUAUAUAACAGGUUACCAACACAUUCAUAUAAUGAUUGACAUUUUAAUUAAAAACUUAAUUUUGAUGAAUUUAUUUAUACCUUCAACCUUCCAUGAGAUAAAGUCCAGACGCAAAUCUAAGGUUGCUACCCAAGCCGUCUGGUCGUUUGUUCCUUCGGUUCGGUUGCCAGAGACGCGACCCAGUAGUUGAGUCUUUAUGUUCUGUAUGUUUUUGUUCUAAAUGUUCCACUGCCAUACUGGCUGGAAAUGUUCUUAUCCCUUGCUUGCUAGCUAACCAAAUACAGCUAACUCAGUUAUGUCAAACAGUACAGCCAGAAUAACAUCAAAGUAGCUGCAAUUACGUUUGUUUAAGCUAUUUUUAGUGACAUUUAUUUGGAUACAUCCAUUGCAAUGAGCUAAUGGUGAGCUAUUUCGCCUGGAUUAGAAAAUGUGCUCUCUCUUCAAGACACUGUUGUUCAGAGGAGCUGCAAAGACUGCAAACUAGCUGCUUUUUGUUUCGUUUUACCUGUUUUCUAUUGACAUUUCUCUGUAUAUAUCCAUAAAAUGAUGCCAGCUGAUUCAUGACUGAGAAAAGCUGCCUGUCUGUCUCGCCCUGACUCCUGACACGUUCAAUACUAUGGGACAUCUGGAGAUUGAAUUUAACAUUGAAACAAUGUUGCAAAUUUCAGAGAGACAGACAGCAAGGUUUAUACAAAUCUCCACUGUUGAAAUCUAAAUGUUAGUCUAAAAGACAUGUGAGAUAAUGUCUAGAUGCUUUUUAUACUGGAGAUCAAGUUUAUAAAUCGCCGGCUGGGCUGAUGAGACAGUGGAUGGCGCAGUCAGAUGGAACAGAGUAAAUAGGCAUUUUAACGUCAUAGCUUUGGCCGCUGGUGACUUGUGGAAUAGACAACGUCUAGAAUGUGGUUUUAACCAAUCAGCAUCCAGGAUUAGAUCCACCUGUUGUAUAAGUACAAUUGUAUAUAUUUCGGGCUCUCUUUCACCAAUUGAUAGCACAAUGUAAACACAUAUAUUUACAGUUUGUGAGUGUGUGAUAUGGGGGUUGGAGAAAUGUUUAUCCGUGUCUGACUCCAACUUCACUCCUCAACUUUCGUCUACAGUCGGUUGCUUUCACCUUAACACAAACGAGCCCACUUUCUGACUGGCUGUCUGACUGGCUGACACUGUCUGUCUGUCUGUCUGACUUCACUGCUCAAGCUCACUCUGUAUCCAAUCAGUCUUGACCAAUGAGUCUGGCCCCAUAUUCGGAAAGCAUCUCAGAGUAGGAGUGCUGAUCUAGGAUCAGUUCCUUCCAGUUUAUGUUAUCCUAUUAAUUAUGAUGGACAAACUGAUCCUAGAUCAGUAGUCCUAAUCUGAGAUCCUUUAUGAAUACAGUCCAGGUUUCUCCUCUAUAUAUCUGUACAUACAUAACCGCAUGUUGGACCACCAAGAUGCAAUAGGUAAACUUUUAUCUUUGUCAUUGUGUUCAUUUGUUUCUUUCAAGAUAUCUGUAGAUCAACAUGUAACAGUAUGCUACAUACUGUAUUUUCAGAAUCAACGUUUUAACCAUAGUCAGUGGAAAUGAGUGUAACUUAUGUCUGGGACAUAUUAUGGAGGAAGUUAGUUCAACUUGAUUGAAGUACAUUAAGCAUGAUUCUAAAACAUGUAACAUGCAAAAAAGUGUUAAAUUAAAAAGUACAUUUUAGUUUAUUCCAUACUAACCCUUUUUAAUUGACUUUUGUGAUUUUUAGGACAAAACCGGUGAAAUUACUAAUUUUAGAAUUUAUAUUUUUCAAAUGAAAUGCAUAUUAAAAAUAAACUGAAUUUAUCAAAAGAGCAUGGUAUGUUUUCUUAAAUCUUUACGAAGCAAUGUGUACAUGUUUGUUCAAAUCCAGCACUGCCACUAGGAGUGGCAGGUGG
ensembl:lncRNA